UGCCCAUUGGCCCAGUGGUUAAGGCGUCUGACUGUUAUUCAUUGUUCAAUGAACAAUAGCAGUUACAUCAGAAGAUCCCUGGUUCGACCCCAGGAUGGGCAG
rnacentral:tRNA from 1 species